rnacentral:rRNA from 1 species
UCCUCUUCGGAGGACAAAGUGACAGGUGGUGCAUGGUUGUCGUCAGCUCGUGUCGUGAGAUGUUGGGUUAAGUCCCGCAACGAGCGCAACCCUUGAACUUAGUUGCCAUCAUUCAGUUGGGCACUCUAAGUUGACUGCCGGUGACAAACCGGAGGAAGGUGGGGAUGACGUCAAAUCAUCAUGCCCCUUAUGAUUUGGGCUACACACGUGCUACAAUGGACAAUACAAAGGGCAGCGAAACCGCGAGGUCAAGCAAAUCUCAUAAAGUUGUUCUCAGUUCGGAUUGUAGUCUGCAACUCGACUACAUGAAGCUGGAAUCGCUAGUAAUCGUAGAUCAGCAUGCUACGGUGAAUACGUUCCCGGGUC